rnacentral:tRNA from 1 species
AGAAGUGUGCCUGAAAGCUAAGGACCUCCUUGAUAGGGAGACUCAUAAGGGUUCAAAUCCCCUCACUUCUU